CGGUAUGGAUAAGAAGUAUACUUGCUGGAUAUGAUAUAGGGAGGAUGAUCCAAAUGAAGUGGUGCGCGAUGAUGAUGAUAUUGAAAAUGAUAAUGAUGCUGGUGGAUUUAUCGAACAUAGUGAUAUAGGAGAAUUGUUAGAUGAUUUACAUCAAGGUGCUUGUUCAAAUAUAUGCAUGAGUACUACUGUAUCUGAAAAUAAUUCUGAUCAUGAACAUAAUAUCCAGCUUG
rnacentral:lncRNA from 1 species